rnacentral:rRNA from 1 species
UACAGAGGGUGCGAGCGUUAAUCGGAAUUAUUGGGCGUAAAGGGCGCGUAGGCGGCAUGGCAAGUGGAAGGUGAAAUCCCUCGGCUCAACUGAGGAACUGCCCUCCAAACUGCUUUGCUUGAGUCCGGGAGAGGUGAGUGGAAUUCCCAGUGUAGCGGUGAAAUGCGUAGAUAUUGGGAGGAACACCAGUGGCGAAGGCGGCUCACUGGACCGGAACUGACGCUGAGGCGCGAAAGCGUGGGGAGCAAACAGG